UACGAAGGGGGCUAGCGUUGUUCGGAUUUACUGGGCGUAAAGCGCACGUAGGCGGAUCGAUCAGUCAGGGGUGAAAUCCCAGAGCUCAACUCUGGAACUGCCUUUGAUACUGUCGAUCUGGAGUAUGGAAGAGGUGAGUGGAAUUCCGAGUGUAGAGGUGAAAUUCGUAGAUAUUCGGAGGAACACCAGUGGCGAAGGCGGCUCGCUGGUCCAUUACUGACGCUGAGGUGCGAAAGCGUGGGGAGCAAACAGG
rnacentral:rRNA from 1 species